rnacentral:rRNA from 1 species
UGCGGGGGACAACAGUCCGAAAGGACUAGCUAAUACCGCAUGUCAGGUCGGAAACUCGGUUCUGACGAAAAAGAGGGGCGCCCCGCAAGGGGCUCUCACCACGAGAUGAGUCCGCGUCCCAUCAGCUAGUUGGCGGUGUAAUAGACCACCAAGGCUUAGCGGGUAGCUGGUCUGAGAGGAUGACCAGCCACACUGGGACUGAGACACGGCCCAGACUCCUACGGGAGGCAGCAGUGGGGAAUAUUGGACAAUGGGCGAAAGCCUGAUCCAGCCAUGCCGCGUGAGUGAUGAAGGCCUUCGGGUUGUAAAGCUCUUUAGGGGGGGAGAAAAACUGAUCUAUCCCCAAAAUAAGCUCGGGCUAAGUUCGUGCCAGCAGCCGCGGUAAGACGAACCGAGCAAACGUUAUUCGGAAUCACUGGGCUUAAAGGGCGCGUAGGCGGGUCAUCAAGUCUGUGGUGAAAAUCCUCCAGCUUAACUGGAGAACUGCCGUGGAUACUGGUGAUCUUGAGGAAUGUAGG